GAUGAAGAACGUAGCGAAAUGCGAUAAGUAGUGUGAAUUGCAGAAUUCAGUGAAUCAUCGAAUCUUUGAACGCACAUUGCGCCCGCCGGCACUCCGGCGGGCAUGCCUGUCCGAGCGUCAUUUCAACCCUCAGGACCCCCUUUCGGGGGGGAUCUGGUGCUGGGGAUCAGCGGCCUCCGGGCCCCUGUCCCCCAAAUUGAGUGGCGGUCGCGCCGCAGCCUCCCCUGCGUAGUAGCACACCUCGCACCGGAGAGCGGCUCGGCCACGCCGUGAAACCCCCAAUUUUUUAAGGUUGACCUCGGAUCAGGUAGGAAUACCCGCUGAACUUAAGCAUAUCAAUAAGCGGAGGA
rnacentral:misc_RNA from 1 species